GAUGAAGAACGUAGUAAAAUGCGAUAAGUAAUGUGAAUUGCAGAAUUCAGUGAAUCAUCGAAUCUUUGAACGCACAUUGCGCCCGCCAGUAUUCUGGCGGGCAUGCCUGUUCGAGCGUCAUUUCAACCCUCAAGCACAGCUUGGUGUUGGGACUCGCGUUAAUUCGCGUUCCCCAAAUUGAUUGGCGGUCACGUCGAGCUUCCAUAGCGUAGUAGUAAAACCCUCGUUACUGGUAAUCGUCGCGGCCACGCCGUUAAACCCCAACUUCUGAAUGUUGACCUCGGAUCAGGUAGGAAUACCCGCUGAACUUAAGCAUAUCAAUGCGGAGGA
rnacentral:misc_RNA from 1 species